AUAUUAACAUUAACAUUGCGGACACUCCAGCACGUAUCCGACAGCCACGUGAUGCCAAAUGUUGAAUGAUAUUGGCACGGCCCACCAAAAUGGAGAGUGCGCAUACGUGAAAUCUUACUCCCAUUCGGCAAAACCACGCGCGAUCUUUAUGGAUUAUUUUCUCGAGAUACGUGAAAGGGGAAACUUACUUUAAAAUUGAUCAGCAUUACAUAAAACACACCCACACACACGAAAAGGAUGUAGUCUUGGAUAGGUAUCAUUGAGUAUAAUCACGUUUUCAAUUUUUGGCUUUUCCAUAUAUAAGUGCACACAAAUUACUUUUUUGUUAAAAAAGAAAACAAAACAAAACAAAACAAAAACAAAAAAAUCACAAUGCAAAAUUUCGAGAGUUAAAACGAUAAUACUCAUUGAUAAGGCACGUAUCUAGAUGCUGAUUCAUCAAAUUUUCUGAUAUCAUCUGCAUGCACACGGGACAAGGAUAUUUACUCUCCGUGGGGUUAUCUUC